CUUGCUUGAAGGGGGGAGUGAGGUUGUAGAGUAAGUCUCUCUUCAUCAAGUCCUCCAGAUCCUUCCUCUAGCCUCCUUCAACACUUCUCUGCCUUGUUCCAACUUCCAUCAAACUAUUGGACAAGCAUUUGAUUUCCAUCUCCACUCCGUCCUUUUUCCUUCCGUGACCGUCAUCUAUGUGCCCCCAUGCAAUGGAGGGAGGACUGGAGAGUAGAUGAGGGCCUUGUGGUUUUCUUUUACUGGUUUCAUAUUUAUAUUUGAUGCCUUUUUUGAUCCAGUUGGUUGGAUUUCAUGUGCACUUGGGUCUUUUUUGGAGCGCGGGAUCUGCUAAGAGAGCUUCCUUCAGUCCACUCAUGGGUGGCUGUAGGAUUGAAUUAGCUGCCGACUCAUUCAUCCAAAUGCCAAGCAACAAGGGGUCAAAGGCUGUGCUUGGUAGAUGAGUGAAUGAUGCGGGAGAUAAGUUGAAUCUUAUGCUGCCUAUGCUUGGACUGAAGGGAGCUCCCUUUUCUACUAGGCCCAUGCAAACCAAUAGACCCUUGGCUUCUUUCUUUGUUACUUCUAAAUGUUACCUUUUUUGGUAUGCAUAUGUUUUUCAAUAACGUGCACUGCGAUUUCCUAGCUAGCUAAUUUUCUCGGUACAAUAAUGUAUUUUAUGUUUGGAUCUAAUUUGACAUGGAUGGAUCACAUCCUAUAAAUGUUAAUAAAGAUUUUAUAGAUUUUGUUGUUUGAAUGAUUAUGAAGUUAUUUCUACACGUUAGGUCAGAAAGUCUCGUGCUCCUGGAGCAAUUGUUCCAUGUUUAUCUAAAGUUUGUUCUGUAUUCUAAGAUCCAGCUACAAGCCUUGCCAACUUGUGUCUUUUAACUUAUUUCCAUUGAUUUCUAUUAGCCAAAGUCUCUGUUAUAUCUGUUCCUUGUGGAUCUACUAAGUCUUUUAUGAGCGACCUAUGGUAAGUCACCAGGGUGGGGAGGAGGAUAAAAAAAAAGCUAAUGUAGAAACCUUUCUCUCUCUCACUCGUCUACUCAACAUCUCAAAAACAAAUUUGUAAGUCUUCUUGGAGAAAUCAAGGCACCUCCUAUUUUUCUCUAAUAUUAGCAGGACAACUAUAGGUCUGUGUAGCAAAAAUAUAAGCAAAAACUGCUCUACAUGUUAGAUUUAGUCUGCACAUUUAAGGUUGUUUGAUACUUACAGGUCUCAGCACUCACCAUUUGGCCUCCUAUAUUUUUUUUGCACUAAUUUACGACAUGUAGCUUAGUUACUGCACUCCAGUUUGUUUUCGGAACAUGCCCUCCCUUCACCGCUGAGGCCUGUCAUAACCUCGUUUUAGAAAUUUUCCUUUUAGUGCUUGUAAACCCUAAUACUUUAUGUUAGGGAUCACUGGGAACCUCGAUGUCACAGAGUCUUCAACAAUAAAAUCUCGGGCCUCACUCUCUUGUUUCGACAAGUUCCUAGAUACUCAUUCUGUUAGGGUUUCUAAUCACACAACUGACAUCUUGCAAGUGAGCUCAUUGAGGUUUUCAGUUCCCAUAUUAAGAGAACUGUAUAUAUGGAUGUAUCCGUAACAAGAUCUUUUAACUAGCGUUAGAAUUUUGAUUUGCACUUUACGAAGUAGAUUAAUAAAACGUUUUAAAAGAGCCACGUAUGAACUCUUGAAGCAGCUGGAAGUGAAUGUCCAAGGACUGAUGCAUGCACAGAAAAUACUGAAUCGUUUUUUUCUUUUGUUUUUUUGAUACGAUCCAGUUGUUAGUCUUAGUCUAUGGUUAUUGUUUUCGCUUGCAAGUUUUGUUUAUUGAUAUAAUAUGUAUAAAUCUAGUCUAUUUUUGAGGAAAGCAUACGUCUGAUAUUCUCUUGCGCUGCUUUUUUGUUUGUUUGCCUUCUUCUUUUAGUGUUCGUUUGUCUGAUAUUAUAUUGCUUUGGUCUGUUGAUGAGGUGGUACCCAGAUGUCCAUCAGAAUUGAAUCAAAAGGUGGCAGUAAGGUUAUUCCGGCACUAGCAUGGAAAUCUUUAGGAUAUUUGGCUAAAAGAUUAUGCAAUUGGUGUAUCCCCAAAUCAAUUGAUGAAAUGAAUGUAUAAUAUGGAAACAUAUAGAAAACCUUGAUCGAUCGAGGAACAUUUUGAUGAAAAAAGAGUAGGGUGGAACCUUGAAAACCUCAUUGACACAUGAACAUUAAAAGGCUACAAUUUAUCUAUGAAUUAUAUGCUUCAAAGAAUUUUAGGUCUUAGAGCAUUCCUUGUGAUGUUUGCUUCGUUUCGUAGGAUAUUUGUUUUGCGGUAGUCAAAUAUAUGCUUUGUAUUCAUGUAGAAGUCCGUCCUUUGCGUGUUGAUCAAAUAGGCCUAUCAUCUUUCUCUGGGCAUGAGUGCUGAUCUUAAGGGUUUAUUUGAGUUGUGACAAUAAACAGAAGUAACUUGAAUAUGCUUCAGAUUUCUGUACCCAUGCAUGUUCCCUGCAGUUUGUACGAUGAGCUAACAACGGCACCAUAAGGCAGGACCACCCUGAUGUUUUCUUCUUUACACACGUAACUCUUAUAUAUGCGACCUGAAUGAAUAUAUGUGUAUCCUGGGGAGAGCUACCGUUACUGCUUAUACGGUGGCUUUCAUGGUGCAAGUCGUUCAAGUUUUCUUUGAAUUUAUCGGGGUGAUUGAACUACUGUAAUCCAAAAGUUUGUUGUUAUCAAUAAAGUUCUUCAUUUUGAAGCUAGAUUAUCGCUCAGCUAGUUUUUGUCGAUUGUUGAUGGGCCAUUUCAUGGUUGCUACGUUGAAACUAUUUAUGACAAAUAUAAUUACAUUUCGCGUUAUAGAAGACUCUGUCCCGCUCUAUUAAUUUUUCGUCAGACUGCCGCCACUGCAACAUACUCUGCCCAUCGUCCCUGGGGUUCUCGUCAUUGGUCUUUCUUUAUUCUCCUAAUUACUGAUUUCUUGCAUUGGUGUAACUGUUUGAAUCAAUCAUCUAUAUUUGUGUAUACUCUUUUCUUUCGCCUUUCUUUGGGUCUCUCCUGUGGGGAUGCCAUAAUAGAAUCAUGAACUCUUGAUAUCUUUUGAGGUCCGGUUUUAGUCUUGCGUCCCUCAUCGUUGUUGAAGUAAAACCAUAUAUGUCUGUUAUUGGCACCACGUAUCAGUCUGCGUCUCCGGCAUUGCAGCUAUUUUUGUUUUCUGGAACCCACUCGGGUUUUUUUGUUGUUCCCAUUCACGGCGCGACAAAGCAGCAUCAUUCUUCCCUUCCCCUGUCAGAAGAAUCACACUGUGGGAGCCUUGCAUUGUGGGACGAGUCUCCUGUAAUUGUAAUUUUGUUUUAUUUUCUAUGAAUUCUGCUACUUAUGUUGAGUAUCCUGCUGUUUGUGAUUCAAUGCUAAUUCAUGCUCGGUGCUGAUAUGUACUGACAGUUCAAAGUUUAGUUUGUCAGCUGAUAAGAAUGUGUUCGAUGGUUUGUCCAACCAAGAGGAAGGAUUAUGGGUAAGGGAUAUAAAACGACCGUUCUCUUGGACUAUGGGACCCUCCUUUAUGCAGGCUUUUGGGCUCUAGAACGGUUGCUGGUCCCUCGACGAAGGGAAGCGUCUGCAUGUAAGCUAUUGGACUCAUGUUGUUGGCCUCGAAGGUCGCUAUGUUGACGGGACCACCUUGUUGAAGGUUCUUUGGACGAUUUGGACGGUUGGAGGAUUUUCUGGCCGGGAAUCUUGGUGAGGAGCUUCCGAGUCCGUUUAGUUGGAUGCGGGUUCGUCUGCGUCAACCCUGCAGCUGCGGUUUCUCUCUAUUAACUCGGGUGCCCUUUUUUCGUUCCCCUCGUUAUGGGCGGGGUUUGGGCAUUUGUUUUUCAGUCAAAUGUAGUGCCUGCGGUCUUUGUUUUGGUCAUGCGUGGGUUUAUGCA